UACGGGCAAUUUUAGCCUAAAACUCAAAAGACUUGACGGUGCCCCAACCUACCUAGAGGAGCCUGUUCCAUAAUCGAUAACCCACGAUCAACCCUACCACCCCUAGAACCAAACAGCCUAUAUACCGCCGUCGCCAGCUUACCUUUUUAAAGCUACACAGUGAGCACAGUAGUAUUUUACUAACACGUCAGGUCAAGGUGUAGCCAAUGAGGUGGUGUUAAUGGGCUACAUUAUCUGCCACAGAUCACUUACGAACUAUUUUUUGAUAUAAUUAUAUAAAGGUGGAUUUAGCAGUAA
rnacentral:rRNA from 1 species